rnacentral:rRNA from 1 species
UCGCCUGUUUAUCAAAAACAUGGUUUCUUGUCUAAAAUAAGAAAUUUGACCUGCCCACUGAAAAUAUUUGAAGGGCCGCAGUAAUUUGACUGUGCAAAGGUAGCAUAAUCAUUAGUCUUUUAAUUGAAGGCUGGUAUGAAUGGUUGGACGAAGUAAAUACUGUCUUUUAGAAAUUUAUGUUGAAUUUAGGUUUUAAGUAAAAAUACUUAAAUAAUAUUAAGGGACGAGAAGACCCUAUAGAGUUUAAUAAUUAUAGUUUUAAUUGAGUUAAAAAUUAAUUUUUAAUUAUUAUGAAGAUUAUUUAAUUGGGGUGAUUAGAAGAUAAGGAGAACUCUUCUUUAAAAUAAAUAUUUUGGAUAAUUUAAAGAUCCAUUUGUAGUGAAUAUAAGAUUAAAUUACCUUAGGGAUAACAGCAUAAUUCUUUUUGAGAGUUCAAAUCGAAAGAAGAGAUUGUGACCUCGAUGUUGGAUUAAGAUAAAUUAUAGGUGUAGAAGUUUAAUAAUUAAGUCUGUUCGACUUUUAAAAUCUUACAUG